ACUAGAUUGUGAUGAGGCAGGGGAGCUAGAGGACAGAGCACAUUAUCACCAGACCGGUGAAAGCAGUGUACCUGAAACUUAAGAUACAAAUGACGAGUGUCUCAUCACACAUUAAGCGAAAGACCGAAAGGAAUGAAAAAAUUUCAAGUGGAAAAUAGUCAAUUGCCCUCGUCAAACAUCGUCAGUAGAGUGCGGCUUUUAUAUCAUAAGGAUGAUGAAAGACUAUUGCUUGAAUGAGAUACACAUGUGAUGGCUAACUAGUAAUUGUGGUGGGAAUAAUACAUAUACACUAGGUGAAAUUAAUGAAACUCGAAAUGAAUGGGCAGCCAAGCUUCUUGAGCGGAUGAGUCAUAGCUAGAGUAAUUUUUUUAAUCUGAAUUAAAAAAUAUACUAAUUGUAGUAUUUAGUUAGCACUUACAUAGUUAUUCUAAGUGUAUAUUUUGAUUUUGUAAUUUUUAAAUUUGGAACAUACCGAGUCCUAUUGAUUUAAUCUGCCUAUUGAUUUUGUCUGAACUAUGUUGUAGUUACAGAAAUUAUAAAUGAAUAUAGUGGUUGAAA